UAACUGCACACGAAGCCGCCUGACGG
rnacentral:piRNA from 1 species